GAUGAACGCUGGCGGCGUGCCUAAUACAUGCAAGUCGAACGGAGGGUCGCAAGAUCCUUAGUGGCGAACGGGUGAGUAACGCGUUGGUACCUGCCCCAAAGCGGGGGAUACCGGACCGAAAGGUCCGCUAAUACCCCAUGUGCUCAGUGAUGAGGAAAGGUGAAAAUCACUUUGGGAGGGGCCUGCGUCCCAUCAGCUAGUUGGUAAGGUAACGGCUUACCAAGGCGAUGACGGGUAGGGGACCUGAGAGGGUGGCCCCCCACAAUGGAACUGAAACACGGUCCAUACACCUACGGGUGGCAGCAGUAGGGAAUAUUGGUAAUGGGCGAAAGCCUGAACCAGCAACGCCGCGUGUGCGAUGACGGCCUCGGUUGU
rnacentral:rRNA from 1 species